rnacentral:rRNA from 1 species
GAGUCUAGCAUGUGCGCGAGUCAUUGGGAUUAUGAUAAACCUAAAGGCGCAAUGAAAGUGAAGGUCCGCCUUGCGCGGACCGAGGGAGGAUGGGUCCGUCUACGUACGGGCCCCGCACUCCCGGGGCGUCUCGUUCUCAUCGCGAGAUGAGGCGCACCCAGAGCGUACACGCUGGGACCCGAAAGAUGGUGAACUAUGCCUGGUCAGGACGAAGUCAGGGGAAACCCUGAUGGAGGUCCGUAGCGAUUCUGACGUGCAAAUCGAUCGUCGGAACUGGGUAUAGGGGCGAAAGACUAAUCGAAC